UCCAGGUGGUUCAGUGGUAAAGAAUCUGCCUGCCAAGCAGGAGACCUAGGUUCAAUCCCUGGAUCAGGAA
rnacentral:tRNA from 1 species